UACGGGGGGAGCAAGCGUUGUUCGGAUUUACUGGGCGUAAAGCGCGUGUAGGCGGUUGCCCAAGUCGGGUGUGAAAGCCUUGAGCUCAACUCAAGAAAUGCACUCGGUACUGGGUGACUAGAGGACCGGAGAGGAUAGUGGAAUUCCCAGUGUAGUGGUGAAAUACGUAGAGAUUGGGAAGAACACCAGUGGCGAAGGCGGCUAUCGUGGACGGUUCUGAC
rnacentral:rRNA from 1 species